rnacentral:tmRNA from 1 species
GGGGCUGUUAUUGGUUUCGACAAUCUUUAAAUGAUUAGUCCACAAUCAACUUUUUUAAACAUAACUGCAAAUAAAGCAGAAUUAGUUGCCGCCUAGUUUAUAAAUAGGCAGUUGGUAAAAUUAAAGAUGGUUCUAAUUUAAUUUUGCUAUCAUAGUAACGAACCUCGAUUAAAUUUAUUGUAGUUAUAAAUUUAAUUUAAAUCUUUUUAUUUUAAGCUACUAGUAGUUAAAGAUGGUGGAUCAAGUACCUUUUAACUAUGAACGUAAACUUGAUUAAUGAUUGUAAUGAAAGAUUAAUUCCACUAUUGAUUGGACAUGGGUUCAAAUCCCAUCAGCUCCAUAU